UGCAAGUCGAACGGAAGUCGUUACGAAAUGGAAUGAAGAUUUAUCUGAUUGAAGUUUUGUAACAAUGGCUUUAGUGGCGGACUGGUGAGUAACACGUAAGCAAUCUACCUAUUAGAGGGGAAUAACAAUGAGAAAUCAUUGCUAAUACCGCAUAAGCUUGUAGUACCGCAUGGUACAGCAAGAAAAGGAGCAAUCCGCUAAUAGAUGAGCUUGCGGCUGAUUAGCUAGUUGGUGUGGUAACGGCAUACCAAGGCAACGAUCAGUAGCCGGGCUGAGAGGCUCUUCGGCCACAUUGGGACUGAGAUACGGCCCAGACUCCUACGGGAGGCAGCAGUCGGGAAUUUUGCGCAAUGGAGGAAACUCUGACGCAGUGACGCCGCGUAUAGGAAGAAGGUUUUCGGAUUGUAAACUAUUUUAGUCAGGGAAGAAAAAUGACAGUACCUGAAGAAUAAGCUCCGGCUAACUACGUGCCAGCAGCCGCGGUAAUACGUAGGGAGCAAGCGUUAUCCGGAUUUAUUGGGUGUAAAGGGUGCGUAGACGGGAAGACAAGUUGGUUGUGAAAGCCCUCGGCUCAACUGAGGAACUGCAACCAAAACUAUCAUUCUUGAGUGCGGGAGAGGAAAGUGGAAUUCCUAGUGUAGCGGUGAAAUGCGUAGAUAUUAGGAGGAACACCAGUGGCGAAGGCGACUUUCUGGACCGUAACUGACGUUGAGGCACGAAAGUGUGGGGAGCAAACAGGAUUAGAUACCCUGGUAGUCCACACCGUAAACGAUGGAUACUAGGUGUAGGGAACGAUAUGUUUUCUGUGCCGAAAGCAAACGCAAUAAGUAUCCCACCUGGGGAGUACGGCCGCA
rnacentral:rRNA from 1 species